AGAGUUUGAUCCUGGCUCAGAACGAACGUUAGCGGCGCGCCUAACACAUGCAAGUCGAGCGAGAAGGAAGCAAUUCCUGUAAAGCGGCGCACGGGUGAGUAACACGUAGGUAAUCUGCCUCGAGGUGGUGGAUAACCUUCCGAAAGGAGGGCUAAUACAGCAUGAGACCACGUCUUCGAAAGAGGAUGAGGUUAAAGCGGGCCUCUAUACAUAAGCUCGCGCCAUGAGAUGAGCCUGCGGCCCAUCAGGUAGUUGGUAGGGUAACGGCCUACCAAGCCAAAGACGGGUAGCUGGUCUGAGAGGAUGAUCAGCCACACUGGAACUGAGACACGGUCCAGACUCCUACGGGAGGCAGCAGUGGGGAAUCUUGCGCAAUGGGCGAAAGCCUGACGCAGCGACGCCGCGUGAGUGAUGAAGGCCUUCGGGUUGUAAAGCUCCGUGGAGGGGGACGAAUAAGGGCUGGUGAAUAUCCAACUUGAUGACGGUACCCCUUUAGCAAGCACCGGCUAACUCUGUGCCAGCAGCCGCGGUAAUA
rnacentral:rRNA from 1 species